CUGGACUGGACUAGAUAGAGAACCCACAGACUGAAUUCGUAAACUCGAAUUCAGCAGAGACAGACUGAUUGUUGUUGUACAUAGGAAAGUAUAGGAGCAAAACUAAACUUCCUUGUCCUGGAGACCAAGAGUUGGUAUCGUUCUUCUUCAUCAUGUCAGGUUUGAAUCUGGAUCAAGGGGCCAUCGUUUUGGUCGCUCGGAGGUGCUUGGCCUGGGAGACGGAGGAGGGGAUCCCUGGAUGCCGGCGCUGCUGCUCCGUGGGGGUCGCCCCCAGCGACCUCAAGCUUCAUUUUCAGUUUUCUCUGAGAUGCUUGCCUCAAAAGGAGAAUCAUCAUCCACCUCCAUCCCCGUUAUGAUCAGGGGAACGUUGCCCGUUUAAAGAGCCGAUGAAUAAGCCUAUAUUCAUGUGAAUGCAAAUCAAGCGGGCGACGAUUCGUGGGAGCAAAAACGAAAGAGUGAUCCAAAUUGGUGGGUCCAUAUGUCGGAUCACAAGAGAGCGGAAUACAACCAGAAGCGCCGGGAGGUCCACUCAAAAAAGAAGUCUGCAUCUCUGGUUAGUAUUGACCAUGAGUAGGUCCAUGAAACACAUGGUCCUUCGUUGCUGGAUGUGCCAUGUACAAACAGUCAAACACUCAGUUCGAUCAGCCCAAAUGACAGAGACAUCUUCUCAGAAGAAACAACGGCGAAUGAGAGAACAAUAUGUUGGGAUAAAGGCAGAAGAUAAAGAAGCUGUGUUGCGUAAGAAGUGUGUGUACAAGAUGGGAAAAUGCCAUACUGUCCCAUUAUCUGACCAAUCCAACAAUCCUGAGGCGCCAGGUGGAUCAAACAUCCCCUCACCAAGUAAUCUUCAGCUCUUUGCCUGUGUAUUUUCAUGCAUUCGCCACUUCAUAUUCAUAUUGCGGAUGCCUUGCUCCAUUUGACAACUUUUCCGCUCUUUCUGGGUGGUGUUGACACAUUUUCAAGGAGGUUGCGUCAUUGACAGCCAUGUUUACUUGAUUUUCCGUAUAGCAUAAUAUUGACCACAUUCAAGUAAACAUUUCCAAGGACUCCGAUGCACAUGGAAUUUCCGAGCCUGUGGGGCAGGCUGCUGAACUUGAAGAAUGCUCGGACACCACCAAAGAGGAAGAAACCUGCCAUGAUGAUGACGAUGAUGAUGAAUGUCGGCUAUUCCGUGCACAAGGUUACUUAUAACACUGCAACAAAAGCCAUCAUUGGGGUUGACGAAUGUUGAGGUUAAGGUACACACAUUUGCUGGAUUGCUUUAUCAUCAUCCAACAUUCGUGUGCAUAUCUAUGAGAAGAACUUCUUUGUUUUGGUGUUCAUGAAGCUUACCUUGAUUAAAUUUUUUCUUGUUGGAAACAGUUAGC